UAUGGAGGGAGGGGUGGAAACCGUGGAAAACUCGUCUCCGUGAUUGAGCGGGAGAGUAAGUAGUAUAGGACAUUAUCCAUUGUUAGGGAACGGUUGUAAUGGUAGUGAGAAUGUAGAAUCGUCUGUGGAGCGGACCUGGGAGUGGCAAGCAUAAGGGACGAAGACGGGGAAACAUGUCGGAUGCGAUCAUACCAGCACUAAAGCACCGGAUCCCAUCAGAACUCCGAAGUUAAGCGUGCUUGGGCGAGAGUAGUACUAGGAUGGGUGACCUCCUGGGAAGUCCUCGUGUUGCAUUCCUUUUAUAAUUAUUUUUUGCGCCUUGUGACAAACAUGUUGCACGUGCGCGAUAUAUAUUAAUCCCGUUAUAUUAUGUUUGACGUUUGCGAUAUGUUUAAGCUCGAUGCUCAUUGCUCGCGCGUCUUGGGGCGGCUUUGUGGCGCGAAGAGCGCGUUCUGAAAGGGGUGGAAAAAACUCGUGUUGCUGCGGUAUGGAGGGAGGGGUGGAAACCGUGGAAAACUCGUCUCCGUGAUUGAGCAGGAGAGUAAGUAGUAUAGGACAUUAUCCAUUGUUAGGGAACGGUUGUAAUGGUAGUGAGAAUGUAGAAUCGUCUUUGGAGCGGACCUGGAAGUGGAAAGCAUAAGGGACGAAGACGGGGAAACAUGUCGGAUGCGAUCAUACCAGCACUAAAGCACCGGAUCCCAUCAGAACUCCGAAGUUAAGCGUGCUUGGGCGAGAGUAGUACUAGGAUGGGUGACCUCCUGGGAAGUCCUCGUGUUGCAUUCCUUUUAUAAUUAUUUUUUGCGCCUUGUGACAAACAUGUCGCACGUGCGCGAUAUAUAUUAAUCCCGUUAUAUUAUGUUUGACGUUUGCGAUAUGUUUAAGCUCGAUGCUCAUUGCUCGCGCGUCUUGGGGCGGCUUUGUGGCGCGAAGAGCGCGUUCUGAAAGGGGUGGAAAAAACUCGUGUUGCUGCGGUAUGGAGGGAGGGGUGGAAACCGUGGAAAACUCGUCUCCGUGAUUGAGCGGGAGAGUAAGUAGUAUAGGACAUUAUCCAUUGUUAGGGAAUGGUUGUAAUGGUAGUGAGAAUGUAGAAUCGUCUUUGGAGCGGACCUGGGAGUGGAAAGCAUAAGGGACGAAGACGGGGAAACAUGUCGGAUGCGAUCAUACCAGCACUAAAGCACCGGAUCCCAUCAGAACUCUGAAGUUAAGCGUGCUUGGGCGAGAGUAGUACUAGGAUGGGUGACCUCCUGGGAAGUCCUCGUGUUGCAUUCCUUUUAUAAUUAUUUUUUGCGCCUUGUGACAAACAUGUCGCACGUGCGCGAUAUAUAUUAAUCCCGUUAUAUUAUGUUUGACGUUUGCGAUAUGUUUAAGCUCGAUCCUCAUUGCUCGCGCGUCUUGGGGCGGUUUUGUGGCGCGAAGAGCGCGUUCUGAAAGGGGUGGAAAAAACUCGUGUUGCUGCGGUAUGGAGGGAGGGGUGGAAACCGUGGAAAACUCGUCUCCGUGAUUGAGCGGGAGAGUAAGUAGUAUAAGACAUUAUCCAUUGUUAGGGAACGGUUGUAAUGGUAGUGAGAAUGUAGAAUCGUCUUUGGAGCGGACCUGGGAGUGGCAAGCAUAAGGGACGAAGACGGGGAAACAUGUCGGAUGCGAUCAUACCAGCACUAAAGCACCGGAUCCCAUCAGAACUCCGAAGUUAAGCGUGCUUGGGCGAGAGUAGUACUAGGAUGGGUGACCUCCUGGGAAGUCCUCGUGUUGCAUUCCUUUUAUAAUUAUUUUUUGCGCCUUGUGACAAACAUGUCGCACGUGCGCGAUAUAUAUUAAUCCCGUUAUAUUAUGUUUGACGUUUGCGAUAUGUUUAAGCUCGAUGCUCAUUGCUCACGCGUCUUGGGGCGGCUUUGUGGCGCGAAGAGCGCGUUCUGAAAGGGGUGGAAAAAACUCGUGUUGCUGCGGUAUGGAGGGAGGGGUGGAAACCGUGGAAAACUCGUCUCCGUGAUUGAGCGGGAGAGUAAGUAGUAUAGGACAUUAUCCAUUGUUAGGGAACGGUUGUAAUGGUAGUGAGACUGUAGAAUCGUCUUUGGAGCGGACCUGGGAGUGGCAAGCAUAAGGGACGAAGACGGGGAAACAUGUCGGAUGCGAUCAUACCAGCACUAAAGCACCGGAUCCCAUCAGAACUCCGAAGUAAAGCGUGCUUGGGCGAGAGUAGUACUAGGAUGGGUGACCUCCUGGGAAGUCCUCGUGUUGCAUUCCUUUUAUAAUUAUUUUUUGCGCCUUGUGACAAACAUGUCGCACGUGCGCGAUAUAUAUUAAUCCCGUUAUAUUAUGUUUGACGUUUGCGAUAUGUUUAAGCUCGAUGCUCAUUGCUCGCGCGUCUUGGGGCGGCUUUGUGGCGCGAAGAGCGCGUUCUGAAAGGGGUGGAAAAAACUCGUGUUGCUGCGGUAUGGAGGGAGGGGUGGAAACCGUGGAAAACUCGUCUCCGUGAUUGAGCGGGAGAGUAAGUAGUAUAGGACAUUAUCCAUUGUUAGGGAACGGUUGUAAUGGUAGUGAGAAUGUAGAAUCGUCUUUGGAGCAGACCUGGGGGUGGCAAGCAUAAGGGACGAAGACGGGGAAACAUGUCGGAUGCGAUCAUACCAGCACUAAAGCACCGGAUCCCAUCAGAACUCCGAAGUUAAGCGUGCUUGGACGAGAGUAGUACUAGGAUGGGUGACCUCCUGGGAAGUCCUCGUGUUGCAUUCCUUUUAUAAUUAUUUUUUGCGCCUUGUGACAAACAUGUCGCACGUGCGCGAUAUAUAUUAAUCCCGUAAUAUUAUGUUUGACGUUUACGAUAUGUUUAAGCUCGAUGCUCAUUGCUCACGCGUCUUGGGGCGGCUUUGUGGCGCGAAGAGCGCGUUCUGAAAGGGGUGGAAAAAACUCGUGUUGCUGCGGUAUGGAGGGAGGGGUGGAAACCGUGGAAAACUCGUCUCCGUGAUUGAGCGGGAGAGUAAGUAGUAUAGGACAUUAUCCAUUGUUAGGGAACGGUUGUAAUGGUAGUGAGAAUGUAGAAUCGUCUUUGGAACGGACCUGGGAGUGGCAAGCAUAAGGGACGAAGACGGGGAAACAUGUCGGAUGCGAUCAUACCAGCACUAAAUCACCGGAUCCCAUCAGAACUCCGAAGUUAAGCGUGCUUGGGCGAGAGUAGUACUAGGAUGGGUGACCUCUUGGGAAGUCCUCGUGUUGCAUUCCUUUUAUAAUUAUUUUUUGCGCCUUGUGACAAACAUGUCG
rnacentral:lncRNA from 1 species